rnacentral:rRNA from 1 species
UACGUAGGGUGCAAGCGUUGUCCGGAAUUAUUGGGCGUAAAGAGCUCGUAGGCGGUCUGUCGCGUCGGCUGUGAAAACCCGGAGCUCAACUCCGGGCCUGCAGUCGAUACGGGCAGACUGGAGUUCGGCAGGGGAGACUGGAAUUCCUGGUGUAGCGGUGAAAUGCGCAGAUAUCAGGAGGAACACCGGUGGCGAAGGCGGCCCGCUGGGCAGUAGCUGACGCUGACGCGCGACAGCGUGGGGAGCAAACAGG